rnacentral:lncRNA from 1 species
AAUCUUAGUCAAAUUUUUAUCAAAUCUUAGUCUAGUCCUAAAUAAGUUCUAAUAAAAUCCUAAUCAAAUUUUAGUCAAAUAUUAAUCAAAUCUUAAAAAAAUCCUAAAUAAAUUCCACUCAAAUCCUGGAUAAAUUCUAAAUAAGACCUAAUAAAAUCUUAGACAAAUUCCAAUCAAACUCUAAUCAAAUUCUAAAUAAAUCCUAACCAAAUCUUAAAUCAAAUCCAAAAUCCUAAUCCUAACCUUAAAUAAAUCUUCAUCCUAAUCAAACCUUAAAUCAAUCCAAAAUCCUAAUCUUAAUCUUAAAUUGAAUCCUAAUCAAUCCCAAGUAAUUCCUACAACAGAUUCAAAACUCAAUAAUUAAUGAAUGAACUAUUGAUUUUAACUCAAUUUUUUCACAAUUUUUAAAAAUUAAUUUGAUAAUAAGUACAAAAAAAAAUAAAAAGAUCAAAAUUAUUAAAUAGACAAUAAUCUCAAAAAUUUACUCGCGUGUCAACCGACCUUCUUU